rnacentral:rRNA from 1 species
UACGAAGGGGCUAGCGUUGCUCGGAAUCACUGGGCGUAAAGCGCACGUAGGCGGCUUCUUAAGUCAGGGUGAAAUCCUGGAGCUCAACUCCAGAACUGCCUUUGAUACUGGUGAGCUUGAGUCCGGAAGAGGAGAGUGGAAUUCCUGGUGUAGCGGUGAAAUGCGCAGAUAUCAGGAAGAACACCCGUGGCUAAGGCGGCUCUCUAGUACGGUACUGACGCUGAGACGCGAAAGCGUGGGAGCGAACAGG